rnacentral:snRNA from 1 species
AGACUGCUGUACAGAUAUAAACU